UUAAGUUCAGCGGGUAGUCCUACCUGAUUUGAGGUCAAGGAUUCAAAAAGUUGUCUCUUCAACAGAGACAGUUGGCAGCUGAACAGACAGAGAGCAAUCCACUGGUGUAGAUAAUUAUCACACCUGUGACAGAUCGCAAAUGGUUCUGCUAAUGCAUUUCAGGGGAGCUGACACCUGCCAGCAAACCCUCCACAAUCCAA
rnacentral:misc_RNA from 1 species